rnacentral:sRNA from 1 species
ACCUACUUAACUCAGUGUUAGAGUAUUGCUUUCAUACGGCGAUCAUGUUCAAUCCAAUAGUAGGUA